rnacentral:rRNA from 1 species
UACGGAGGGGGCAAGCGUUGUUCGGAAUUACUGGGCGUAAAGGGCUCGUAGGUGGCCAACUAAGUCAGACGUGAAAUCCCUCGGCUUAACCGGGGAACUGCAUCUGAUACUGGAUGGCUUGAGUUUGGGAGAGGGAUGCGGAAUUCCAGGUGUAGCGGUGAAAUGCGUAGAUAUCUGGAGGAACACCGGUGGCGAAGGCGGCAUCCUGGACCAACACUGACACUGAGGCACGAAAGCCAAGGGAGCAAACAGG